UUUUUCUCUUCCUCCUUUCAGAAAGUUAUUACAGAAUCUUUUGAGCCAUCACUCUUCUUCUCGCACUAUAUCCUUGUUCCUUCUGAUCUAAAUUCUAAGAAGCAGGAGCAGAGGAUGCUACAUCAUCUGGUGAUAGAAAAGUAGCGAAGGGUGGUCAAGCGAAGAAGAAGUCAAAGAAACGUCAUGGGUAUAGUAUUGAGCAAGAUUAUACUGUUCCACAAAGACCUUAACUGGUGGCUUCCUUAGACCACAGGUAAUCCAACUUUCUUUUUUUUUCUUUUUUUUUUUAAUUUUUUUAAUCUCCUUUUUUUAUGAACUUUUUUAACCCUUUCUUUUAUUUUCCUUUCUCUUUGAGUUUGUCUCAAUUUAAAUUAGGGUUGCAUCUAUUACUGCAUUUUAUGUUGCCUCAAAUUGCUAACUCUUAGUAUUUUGUUUUGUCUUUUAUCCAAUUGUCCACUCACGGAUUGAAUUUUUCU